UUCCGGUUGAUCCCGCCGGACCCCACUGCUAUCGAGAUGGGACUAAGGUAUGCUAGUCGAACGACCAGAACUAUGUCUGGAAGUGGCACACUGCUCAGUAACACGUAGCUAACCUACCCUUAGGACGUGGAUACCCCCGAGAAAUUGGGGCUAAUAGGCGAUAGGUGUGAUGUCCUGGAAUGGUAUCACGCCCAAAGGUAUCCCAUACAUGUUUGGUAUACGCCUAAGGAUGGGGCUGCGGCCGAUCAGGCUGUUGGUGAGGUAAUGGCUCACCAAACCUUUGACCGGUACGGGCCAUGAGAGUGGUAGCCCGGAGAUGGACACUGAGACAAGGGUCCAGGCCCUACGGGGCGCAGCAGGCGCGAAACCUCCUCAAUGCACUAACGUGCGAAGGGGUUACCUCGAGUGCCACCUGAAGAAGGUGGCUUUUCCUUGGUCUAAAAAGCCUCGGGAAUAAGAGGGGGGCAAGACUGGUGUCAGCCGCCGCGGUAACACCAGCCCCUCGAGUGGUGGGGAUGAUUAUUUGGCCUAAAGCGUCCGUAGCCGGCCGGGUAAGUUUCCCGUUAAAUCCAACGUCUCAAGCGUUGGACUGCGGGAAAUACUGCCAGGCUAGAGAGUGGGAGAGGUCAGCGGUAUUCUGGGGGUAGGGGCGAAAUCCUUUGAUCCCCGGAGGACCACCAGUGGCGAAGGCUGCUGACUAGAACACGUCUGACGGUCAGGGACGAAAGCUGGGGUAGCGAACUGGAUUAGAUACCCGGGUAGUCCCAGCCGUAAACGAUGCAUGCUAGGUGUUGGGUUGGCCACGAGCCA
rnacentral:rRNA from 1 species